UUUUUAUUGAUUGAUUGGAAGUAGGGGAGAGAGACAGAAACAUUGCUUUGUUAUUGCACUUAUUUAUGCAUUCAUUGGUUGAUUCUUAUAUGUACCCUGAUAGGGGAUCGAACCCGAAACCUUGGCAUAUAAAGACUACAUUCUAAUUGACUGAGCUAGGGCUGGCCAGGGCUGAUAAAUGUUUCUUUUAAGACUAUUUCUUAUGUAACUUUUAAGAACUCACUGGCUUAAUUUUAGAUCUUCUUGGCUUCAGUCUAAAAUGUAUUAGUCCCUAGGAAGGUGUCUCCUGGGUUUUAAGUAUUCCAGAAUAGCUUCCAGGAAGCAUCAGGCUGAAGGGAUCAGCAGGGAGUACUGCUAUCAUCCUAGUGAAGGUGCUGAAACUCUUCUAUAUCCUGGAAGUAUAACUGAGAGAGAGAGAACCUUAACUUAGAGCUAACUGACUUACCCUACAGUUUCUCCCAUUGCAAGGGGACAUUUUAAAAGAGCAAUGUAGUUAAUAAUUUUUAAAGAUCAGAGUCUAAAUUAUAGAUAAGAAUUAUUUCAUUUAGCCAGAAUUACAAAAUUAUUUAGAAUAUAGACUACAUUAGAAGCAUUAGUUCUGCAUCCAUUUGGCAUUAUAUUGUAUAAGGUAGUAACUGCAAAAAUAUGUCAGCUCAUCAGAAACUUAAAACAUACAAUAUCAAUGUACAUAUAUAUAAAAUAUGCAAGCAACUGAACAAGUGGCAUAAAUAAAAAAGUAAAUAUUGGUAAAGUGGUAAGUGAAUUUUGGGCUUCACAGAUAAUAAAUUCUUGUUUUUGUGGAAUUGAUCUAGCAAAAAAAAAAGGCAUCUUUUGCUUUAGCCUAGAAAAACUUUAUACGGGAGGUGGAAUUUUAGAUGUUGUAUAGAUGAUGGGAGAAAUUGCUUUUGACAAACCACAGUGAAAAAGGAAGGGAAUGUGUAAUUACAGAUAGAGAGGUAGUGAAGCACUGGCUUUAGGAAUAGAGGGCAUAGAGUUGUUUGGUGUAGAAAUAGAAAGCAAAACCUAUUGAGCAAAAGGACUAAAUAUAUUUUUCAAAAGAAAGGAAAGGAACAAAAAGUAUAAAAGUUGAGGAGAAAGUUGAUAGAGUCAGGCUGGUGAGCUCAGUGAUACUAUUAUUCACUGAUACAAAUGUUAGUGGGUUUUUCCUUCAAGGCAAAAAGUUUGAAAGAGAUAAAAUAUAGUUUCUAAUUAGAUUUUAAUUUAUAGUCUAUUAAAUUUUUAUCAUUAUUAAGAAUACAGAGAUGGUUUGUAUCUUUUUUAUUCCAAAUUUUAUUUUCUCUUUUUAAUUUAAAUUCUGUGAAUAAUUCUCUAUCUCAUGUGGACUAGGGUGGGAGGUCUGCAAUGUGGGUCCUGUGGGUUGGCAGUGGAGAAUGGGUAUGUACAGUGCCCUGGGCCUGCAGAGUCCUGCAGUUUACCCAGAAAGAAGAGCCCAUGAGGGCAGGAAGGGUACCAGUUUUUAGGAAAGGGCAUAACCUGGACCCUGGGUUGUAGUAGCUUUUGGGAGUCUGGCCGAAUGAGACAACCUCCCUGCACACCCAAGAUGGUUUCUGUCUUUAAAACAGAGAUUUGUUCAAAACAAUAUUUGGCUUAUAAACUUAACUUUUUAUAAUUUUAUAGUAGAUUUAACAUUUUUAUAAGUUUAUAGCAGUUUAACUUGAUAUGCAUAAAUAUAAGAAGGUAAAACAUUGUGGUCUCUGUACCAGUCAGUAUUUUUAUCUGCCCCUAAAACAGUUCCCUUGGUUGCUGCUAUUGCAUCAAAGCAUGUCCACUGACACGAGCUUUCCCCUGCCAUAACCUGGCAAAUGGCAAAGCACUACCCCUUUUCAAACUUCUCUUUUCUCUUAGCGGCAUAUCCAUGGACUAGCACUGUGACAUUCAACCUUUUUAUCUCAUGGUACACACAAAUUACUAAAAAUUUGUAACACACCAAAAAUAUUAUUUUUUGCAUAUCUGACAAAAAAAGCAUGAUUUUUGAUUCAUUCACACUGGAGAGCUAUUGUUGUAUUGUCUGCUGUUAUUUUUUAAUUUGACAAUCUAAGGGAAAAGAGGUCAGUGCUCCUGACUAGUUAUGUAUUGCAUGUUUUAAAAAUUCACCAGUGUGCUAUGGCACAUCACUUGAAAAUUGCUGGACUAGCAAAUAUGGUGAGUCAUAUUUUAUUGUCUCCUUCCCUUUUACAGUUUUUAAGACUACAUAUGAUUUUUGCAUAUUGCCUAAUCUCUGCCUUAGUUUGUUGUUAUUUCAUAUGGAAAUAAUAAAGCCUUAUUGCUACUCUAAUUAAACGAGCAAUGUGUGAAAGCACCCAGCAAAGUGCACGGUGUAUAAUAGUUGAAUUUUAGUUCAGCAGAUGUUAUUUGUAUUUCCUUUUUCUCAAGUGGUAAUAAUUUUACUGAAAAGGUAAUAAUUUAGAGAAAAAACUUACAUGAAAUAUGGUGUAUGCCAAGUUUUUGGUUUGGAUCUAUUGGAUUAGUUAUAAAUUUGUUCUCAUUGGAGAGGUUAUCAUCUGUUUUCUCUUUACCUUGUUUUCUUUUUUUUUAAAGGAUGAUUGAGACAUAACAAAAAAAGCGUCACUGUCUAACAAAGGACCCUAUCAGAUUAUAAAUUAUAAUUACCUUAAAGUAAGUUUGAAAUUUAGUGAGAGGGAUUGUUACAUGAGACAGGUUAUACAUAAUCCUAAAUUUAGUUAUAAAAUUAUUUGCUCUCAAAAUAAGACAAGUCUCUAAUUCCAUAUCUAACCAAUGACUCAAUGAUCUUAGAGGUUGCAAAUUAGCAUUUUCAUAUCCCUACCUGUAAUAACUCAUAGAUUGUCCCAUCACAGUAUCCCUGUCAUGUGUGACCUUGUAUUGGACACUUCAUAAUAUUUAUGCCAAGCAUUUAUCUGAUAUAAUGAUCUCUCUUCUGUCUUUCAAGAUCUCUCAACAAAGUAAAAAUCAGUCCUCACUUGGUUAUAAGUAGCAGCAUUGUCAAUUAGACUUUUUAAUAUAUUAAAUAAGAAGCACAUGUCUCAAAGAAUGAUAAAAAGCAUUCUUCAUACUUGAUAAAGCUAAACCAUUGAUGGAGAGAUUGGAACCAAAACUUAACAUGAGU